rnacentral:rRNA from 2 species
GGGCAACCCUGGUGGCGAGUGGCGAACGGGUGAGUAAUACAUCGGAACGUGUCCUGUAGUGGGGGAUAGCCCGGCGAAAGCCGGAUUAAUACCGCAUACGCUCUACGGAGGAAAGGGGGGGAUCUUAGGACCUCUCGCUACAGGGGCGGCCGAUGGCAGAUUAGCUAGUUGGUGGGGUAAAGGCCUACCAAGGCGACGAUCUGUAGCUGGUCUGAGAGGACGACCAGCCACACUGGGACUGAGACACGGCCCAGACUCCUACGGGAGGCAGCAGUGGGGAAUUUUGGACAAUGGGGGCAACCCUGAUCCAGCAAUGCCGCGUGUGUGAAGAAGGCCUUCGGGUUGUAAAGCACUUUUGUCCGGAAAGAAAUCAUCCUGGUUAAUACCCGGGGUGGAUGACGGUACCGGAAGAAUAAGCACCGGCUAACUACGUGCCAGCAGCCGCGGUAA